rnacentral:rRNA from 1 species
GACGAACGCUGGCGGCGUGCUUAACACAUGCAAGUCGAACGGAAAGGCCCUGCUUUUGUGGGGUGCUCGAGUGGCGAACGGGUGAGUAACACGUGAGUAACCUGCCCUUGACUUUGGGAUAACUUCAGGAAACUGGGGCUAAUACCGGAUAGGAGCUCCUGCUGCAUGGUGGGGGUUGGAAAGUUUCGGCGGUUGGGGAUGGACUCGCGGCUUAUCAGCUUGUUGGUGGGGUAGUGGCUUACCAAGGCUUUGACGGGUAGCCGGCCUGAGAGGGUGACCGGCCACAAUGGGACUGAGAUACGGCCCAGACUCCUACGGGAGGCAGCAGUGGGGAAUAUUGCACAAUGGGCGGAAGCCUGAUGCAGCAACGCUGCGUGCGGGAUGACGGCCUUCGGGUUGUAAACAGCUUUGGCCGGUGACGAAGCGUGAGUGACGGUACUGGGUAAAGAAGCACCGGCUAACUACGUG